AGGUUUUUACAGAGGAAAGAAAAUGUGCUUCCCUAAUGAAACUUGUUUUCUGUACUGAAUUUGAAUAUCCUGUUUGCAGACAUGGAGGUGGAAGAGAUGGUUGACUUGUUUGCUUGCUUUUUUAACAGUGCAGGGUGAAGGAAAGUGUGAUGAAGGUGAAUUGUGUAACUUAGCUGGAAUCCUGGCAGAGAUUUACCACUAAAGAAAUAUUGAGGAGCAUCAGCCACAGCCAUGGUUCCCAGGGAGCUGUUUAUACAGGUACACAAGACUUAGGACCAAGAAAAAGAAGGACAAAGAAACAAAGGGAUUUGUUUGAAGGCAAGCUGGAAGCCUUAUCUUCCUCACUCCUGCUUCAGUACUCUAUUCACAAGCAGGUUUUAUUCCCUCCUCCCCCUACAAAAACACUCUGGAUUUUGUAAAGAAUGAUAUGAAUGCACAGAUCUCACUUAUGAAUUUACUAAUAUAGAUUACAUUUCUGAAACAAGUUUGCCCUCUAUUCAGCAUUUGGGGGGAAACAGAGGUACAUUCAUUCUGUGAGAACCUCUUCAAAGGUCCAUUCACAACCAUUCAUGGGAAGUGCUACAUUGCUGGGCAUGUGUGAGAGAAAAAGCACUUUAAUUGAAUGCAUGAGGAUCUAACUGACUGCCAGAUUGUGACUGGCCUCUGUGCAGGCCCAAAGUUGCACAUGUCCUGCUGGGAGCAAGAAACUGCUGUAGAGACAAGCCAUCCUCUUACUCUGAGCUGCCCAGCACACCAGGCACUGUGGAAUAAGGACAAUCUGUCAAGCUGGCCAUGGGAACUUAAAACAAGGCUUCUUGCAAUAAAGAUGGUUCAUUUGGCUGAAGGACCUCCUAAAUAUGGCUUCUGUCUGUGUACAGAGCUGUGAGCUGUAGGUACACUGACUGGAGCUGAAUGCUUUCAGGUUGGUGUAGGAAAUGCUGUGUGUUAAAUCUGGUCUGGGGUACAAAACUACUGUCAUGUUAUUUUUAAAUGUGGACUCCAGUUUCACUCUACAUUUGCUUGCUUGUUGUAUAUUAUAUGUUUCAUUUUCUGUCCUUCCAUUAUUAAAAGCUGAUGUACUUACAUUUUCCUUGAAAAAUACCCUGAUGGAUACUGACUAAUAAUAUAGUGCAUCCAUAAAGAAGAUGAAGAGGAUGGGCAAAGGUAGCAGGGUCUUUGGGGAUGCACUUAAUGCUGUUCAUUAAAAAUAUGUGAAUCUGCUUUAGGAGGUUUGAUAAACAUUGAUUUUGCUUAUCGAGAGCAAGAGAUAAAAAACAGUCCCCCUCCUCUUUUUCUGCAAAAUGAAAGGAACUGAUGUAAUUGUUCUAACUCCAAUACAAUGAAGUGCUAUUGGAGCAGUGCCAGCAGUGUAUUUCCUGCCAGUGUCUGCUCCUCCAAUCAGUUUAAUUAUGAGCAAUUGUUUGGGUUGUGCUGUGAAGAAAUAUUAGAGAAUGGAAAAAAAGAACAUACUUUGGGUCUCUAUUUUGUAACUGAUUCAUGGUUUGGCAGAAACCAUUAACUAGAUGUUAUGCUUUACAACACUGUAAUAGUAUCAUUGUGGACCGACCUUGCCAUAUAAGCACAUACAGCACAAAUCCACCGUUUAUUUUGACAAGGCUCUAGUUGAAGCAUUUGAAAAAUGCUGAAAUAACAUCAGCUAUUGGCUAGAAUUUUUGGUUAAUCAUGUGCCUACUCUUAUCCAAGGGAUCUAAGCAGGCUAUGAAAAACUGGCUAUUGUUAAUGUCUCCUAUGUUUAUCUGUCAUGUCAAAUUUUUAUAAUAAUUUUUCUUAUGCUUGACACACUUCUCACGUCUUGCUGCUGCAUGCAGAGGCAUUUUGUAAUCCUAGAUCAGUUCCUUUGGAGGUGCAGACUGGGAAAAGAUGGUUCUUCUCCCAGCUUGCAGGAUUGCUCUCCUUCCAACUGUUUUUCUUGGGAUGAUGAAGACUUAAUUAAGCUAACAGGAUUUCUCUGGAAGCAGAUCCUGAUUAAUGUGUAUUUCAACUUGUGUGGAAUGGUUUCAAUGCAGACUAGAGGGGGUGUUUACUGGGGCAGUGCCUCUGUGCUGAAUAGUCUUCGUGCAGAGAUCUUGCAGGACAAAACCCAAAAUGUCUAUUAGUGCUGCUCAGCAGUCUGGUCAGCUGCCAGGACGGGAGCCAGCCGGGCACAGCACUCAGCUGUGGACGGGAGGAGGUUCCCACAUUGCCCAGCCUGAUGUAGCCACCCCUGGUGGCAUCCCUCUCCAAGCAGAGAAUGUUAGAUUUCAGAUGUUGCCAGAUACUAUUGAUCAGCAAAAUAGAAAGAAAUCCCUUGGAAUACAGAAAACAAAGAAUUUGUAGUACUUGGAGCAAGCGCUAGUUUCAGGGGUUCAUGCCUAGAUCUGAUAUGGCAUGGCACAAGAGCAUGCUCUCUCCAGGAAUGUCAUAUGAACUAGCCCAGUCCAGAUCCUCUUCCAACAGAAGACAAAAGAUGCACUUGUUUUCAUAUUUGCUAAUGGAAAAUGUUCAUUCUACCCAUCCCCCUCCUGUGAGCUGUGUACAUCCUUUUGUUUUCUGAUACCAGAACAUAUCGUGGAUAACUAACGUGUCUGUUCUUGUACUGAGUAAUACGGGAUUAAAGCAAAUUGUGUAAAUGCUGCAGGUGGCAUUUUGUAUCUCUGCCAGGUUAUGCAGUCUUUAUAUUAAGCAUAUUUCUUAGAUGUAGCUUAAGCCUGCAGAGUUCAAGGGGUACAAGGGUCCAUCUGUUUGCAAAAGUGUGGGGAUUUUUUUAUCUGCAACUUGGGCUGCUCCAAUUCUGCUGUUAAAAUGUGAGCAAUGGUAAUUUCUAGCAAGAGAGCUCUGAAUUUUAACAGAGUUCAGGAAUAAAAGUGAGAGGAACAGAACUCCUGUGUUUAGAUCCUAUAUGUUUAGUACUUUCUUACAUAUCUGCUUAGACUGAAGAUCAUUGGAGAGAUCAUAUUUUGCCCGGUGCUGUGCUGCACCUCAAUUACCUAAGCAUGUCUUGCAAAAUAAUUUUCCAUCAGGAAGCAGUAUUAUCUGUGAAUACGGAUCCUUCCCAUGUAGAAAUGUUGCAGAAGGAGCAGUAAUCUUGGCUGUUCCAGGAAACAGAGGGCAAAUGAAACUGCUGUUUAGAAAAGUAGGAUCAAGAGCAUAAUUGGAGAUAAGGAGAUAAGAUCAUGUGAUGCACUGUAGAUGAUACCAGAGACGAAGAGAUUAAAAUCACCCUAGUCUAGGUCAAUUGAAUAGAAUAAACCCAUGAAAUACUGUUUUAUUCUAGCCACUGACAUACUAAUAAAUAAGGGCAGAGGUGGGUCUCAUAAAGAAAUUUCCAUUACCACUGAUGUUUUUAAGAGCUGUAUUUUGUCUAUAAAUAAGAUUUGUUAUGUUGCCAGAUUUAUAACUUCAAUUUUUUUCCAGCCAUAUUCUUAGUUACCCAGAAGAGUGUUGUUGAUUUGAGAGCAUGGCUGUGACCUGCUCUGCUGCUCUCUUCUGCUGUACCCUCAGAAAUGGUCAAAAUGAGAUGAAUGCUUACCUGCUCCUUUUACCAGUCUCAUUAUACUGCUUAACAUUACUUGCUGAUUGGAAGGUUUUUGUGUCAGGGGAAGUUGUGUCCCCCUGACAUCCUCUGG